CCACCUUGGCCUUCCAAAGUGCUGGGAUUACAGGUAUGAGCCACCUCACCUGGACCUCUCUUCUCUUUAUACCCCUCUCACUACCUCUUUGCAUCUUUCAAAAAAUCAUCUUGCUUCCGGGAGGACCUCUGUUGACACCAAUAGACUGGGCUAUUUACAAUGUUCUCUCACUUGUUUCUUAGACUUCAACAAUUUACCUACUCUAUCAGUGCAUCUAGAUCCACCUUAUUCUUUUCUACAAGUAUCUAGUAUGUUAUGGUAGUACAAGUUGAGUAUGCCUCAUCCAAAAUGCUUGGGACCAGAUGUGUUUCCAAUUUCUGAUGUUUUUUUUUUUUUCUUUGGAUUUUGGAAUAUGUGCAUUAUACUUCCUGGUUGAGCAUCCCUAAUCUGAAAAUCCGAAAUCCAAAAUGCUCCAGCCAGUAUUUCCUUUCAGCAUCAUGUUGGCGCACAGAAAGUGUCAGAUUUGGGGGCAUUUUGGAUUUUGGAUUUUUGGAUUAGGGAUGCUCAACUUGUACUAUAUUUUAACUGUUCUACCAAUGGAGUGGUUGUUUAAAAGAUUCUCCCUACUAAUGACUUUGUAAUUGUUAAAUACAGUGGCUGUUUUCCAUCUUGGUAUCCAACUUGCUGUCCCUGUAGCAUCUGACACUUCUGAUGACCUCGUGACAAUGCUCCGUUCCCAAGGCACCCAUCACCCUGCCUGCCCUCCCACCCUUCAGCGUUCUUUCUCGGUUCCUUCAACUGGCUUCUCCCCCACAGGCAGCCUCCUACAUUUGGGACUUUCCAGGCUUCCAUCCUUAACAGUUGCUUUAAUUGUUUUUUCCACAUUCACUGAGCAUUCCCGAACAUUAAAUAUUAUUCUUUCUGCUGAUUUCCAAAUCUCUCCAAUCGCUCUCCUGAAUUCCAAAUGUGAAUUUCAAAUUGCCUACAGGGCAGCCCGAUCUGUGGGCCUUACAGGCACUGCACACUCAAUUUUCCACAAUGAACUUAAUGAUUGCCCUUUUUGCGUUUUAGUCUCCCUCCCAUCCAUCACACCGCUAGGCUUGCCCCUCCUCCUGGGGCAACUGGAAUGGUUUUUGUAAAGGUAUAAAUUGGAUACAAUGAUUCUUUUGCAUUUGAUAUGCGGGUCUCCGCCUGCAGUCCACAUGGCUACUCCUGUGUACCCUUCAGAUCUUAGUUCAAAGGUCACCGCAGAGAGGUUGCCCUGACCACCUGAGCAAAAGCAUCACUCUCUGCUUCUCCUCCAAUUACCCUCUAUCCUGUUACCCUCCUCCUAUUGCACAUCUCUAUUGGAAAUUUUCUCUAUUUGUUUACACACUGCUUGCCUGUGUCUUCUCUAGAACGCAAGCUCAUGAAGACAAGGCCUUUGUCUUUUGCACCCCAGAGCCUACAACACCUUCUGCAACCCAGCAGGACAAUCAACUUGUGGAAUGAAUAAAUAAAUCAACCCCUCAUCCUUUAAGAAGGAAAGGGCCUGCUGUUAAAUUAAGCACUGAGCCCCACAUUUCAACCUGACCGGUUCUGUCUGAGUGUGUCACCUUUCCCUCCCCAGCCCACUUACUUUAGUUCAGGCCAUUCAUAUUCAUAAACAGAUUAUCUGUGAAUGACAAGCCGAUCCCUGGAAAGAGAUGGCAAGUUAGCUCCACCCACCAUCCUCACCACCAUUGAGUUUCACACUGAACUUGACACAAGUUAUAACCACCACCUUCUAGGAAAACCACUUCUCAGGGAGCAGGGAGGACGUGGCCACAAGGUCAAGAACGGAUUAGAUCCUAGCACACUGAGAGAUGGGUACCCUCUGGCUGACACCGCCAGGAGGCUCAGUUCUGGGAAACCAGCAUCCCACACCCUCCCAUCCGGACACACUGCUAGAUAUUUUACAUGCAUCCUCCCAAUUCGCUCCAGAGCCCAGCCUGCUGUUGUUCCCUUUUACAGACAAACCAUAGGUCCCACAGGAGCGUGUCCCAGAGCUCCUGCAGAGGCCUCCACUGCCAGAGAGCCCCCCAACCUGGGUACCAAAGGCUUCAGAGCUCAAGCUCUGUCAACUUGAGCUACUUUAUUUCCUAGCUGCCUUCAAAACCCCUCAGUGUCCUUUUUAAAAACAAAACUUGAAGUCCGCUCUGGAAGAGGAGGCCCAGGAAGAAGGAGGCCUACAGAGUAGCACGCGGGUGUCUCGGCCCGGCCGGCUCCCAGAAGCUGCUCCCCGUGGCUCGCGGGGAUGGGGACGGCUGGGCGCCGGCGGGACGCUGCAGGAGCGGGCUACCGGCCGGAGGACGCGGGGGGACGCUGGGAACUCGGGAUUUCAUGCACGCGAUUGUCCCAAGCAGAAGCGUGAAAGAGCCUGCGAGCCGGCGUGCUCUUGGAGGAUGGGCAAGUGUCCUGGAUGUGUUUUCAAACCCUGGAGCCGCCACCCACCUCUCUCCACCUCCCCUCACCUCCCUCCACCUCCCCUCACUUCCCUCCACCUCCUCUCACCUCCCUCCACCUUCCUCCGCCUUUCUCUGCCUUCCCCCCACCUCCCUCAUCCCAGGGCCUGGAGCUGGAAAGAUUACACCCGAUUGCUUUUAGGGUGGCCCAGAUCUGCAGGGAUCAGAUCUGGGCUUUCAGGAUCCGGCCUUUCGGCCUUUGGUCAACUGCAUUCAGGGGAGGAGGGGGAGAGAUUUUUUCACAUUCUCUGCUUUACUAGUUUUGCAAGAACAUCUGGUCAGAUUGUAAUUGUUCCAGGUUGCAGCUUUAUUAAAGCAGUCACUCUCUUCUGAUUAGAAA